UUAAAUUGAAGAGUUUGAUCAUGGCUCAGAUUGAACGCUGGCGGCAGGCCUAACACAUGCAAGUCGAACGGUAACAGGAAGCAGCUUGCUGCUUUGCUGACGAGUGGCGGACGGGUGAGUAAUGUCUGGGAAACUGCCUGAUGGAGGGGGAUAACUACUGGAAACGGUGGCUAAUACCGCAUAACGUCGCAAGACCAAAGAGGGGGACCUUCGGGCCUCUUGCCAUCAGAUGUGCCCAGAUGGGAUUAGCUUGUUGGUGAGGUAACGGCUCACCAAGGCGACGAUCCCUAGCUGGUCUGAGAGGAUGACCAGCCACACUGGAACUGAGACACGGUCCAGACUCCUACGGGAGGCAGCAGUGGGGAAUAUUGCACAAUGGGCGCAAGCCUGAUGCAGCCAUGCCGCGUGUAUGAAGAAGGCCUUCGGGUUGUAAAGUACUUUCAGCGGGGAGGAAGGUGUUGUGGUUAAUAACCGCAGCAAUUGACGUUACCCGCAGAAGAAGCACCGGCUAACUCCGUGCCAGCAGCCGCGGUAAUACGGAGGGUGCAAGCGUUAAUCGGAAUUACUGGGCGUAAAGCGCACGCAGGCGGUCUGUCAAGUCGGAUGUGAAAUCCCCGGGCUCAACCUGGGAACUGCAUUCGAAACUGGCAGGCUUGAGUCUUGUAGAGGGGGGUAGAAUUCCAGGUGUAGCGGUGAAAUGCGUAGAGAUCUGGAGGAAUACCGGUGGCGAAGGCGGCCCCCUGGACAAAGACUGACGCUCAGGUGCGAAAGCGUGGGGAGCAAACAGGAUUAGAUACCCUGGUAGUCCACGCCGUAAACGAUGUCUACUUGGAGGUUGUGCCCUUGAGGCGUGGCUUCCGGAGCUAACGCGUUAAGUAGACCGCCUGGGGAGUACGGCCGCAAGGUUAAAACUCAAAUGAAUUGACGGGGGCCCGCACAAGCGGUGGAGCAUGUGGUUUAAUUCGAUGCAACGCGAAGAACCUUACCUGGUCUUGACAUCCACGGAAGAAUUCAGAGAUGGAUUUGUGCCUUCGGGAACCGUGAGACAGGUGCUGCAUGGCUGUCGUCAGCUCGUGUUGUGAAAUGUUGGGUUAAGUCCCGCAACGAGCGCAACCCUUAUCCUUUGUUGCCAGCGGUCCGGCCGGGAACUCAAAGGAGACUGCCAGUGAUAAACUGGAGGAAGGUGGGGAUGACGUCAAGUCAUCAUGGCCCUUACGACCAGGGCUACACACGUGCUACAAUGGCGCAUACAAAGAGAAGCGACCUCGCGAGAGCAAGCGGACCUCAUAAAGUGCGUCGUAGUCCGGAUUGGAGUCUGCAACUCGACUCCAUGAAGUCGGAAUCGCUAGUAAUCGUGGAUCAGAAUGCCACGGUGAAUACGUUCCCGGGCCUUGUACACACCGCCCGUCACACCAUGGGAGUGGGUUGCAAAAGAAGUAGGUAGCUUAACCUUCGGGAGGGCGCUUACCACUUUGUGAUUCAUGACUGGGGUGAAGUCGUAACAAGGUAACCGUAGGGGAACCUGCGGUUGGAUCACCUCCUUACCU
rnacentral:rRNA from 3 species